UAUUGCUCUUGAACGAGGAAUCCCUAGUAAGCACAAGUCAUUAGCUUGUGCUGAUUACGUCCCUGCCCUUUGUACACACCGCCCGUCGCUACUACCGAUUGAAUGGCUUAGUGAGGCCUUCGGAUUGAGGUUUGGAGACUGGCAACAGACUCCGGAUUAGAAGUUGGUCAAACUUGGUCAUUUAGAGGAAGUAAGUCGUAACAAGGUUUCCGUAGGUGAACCUGCGGAAGGAUCAUUACCAAUAGCGAACCUGAUUGAUCAUGGUCUCGCGAGAUCACUUUCAACAACGGAUCUCUUGGCUCUCGCAUCGAUGAAGAACGUAGCGAAGUGCGAUAAGUAAUGUGAAUUGCAGAUUCCGUGAAUCAUCGAAUCUUUGAACGCAAAUUGCACUCUCUGGUAUUCCGGAGAGUAUGCCUGUUUGAGGGUCAGUACAAUCAAAAUCGGAGCGAUGCCUUUUGGGUGAAGCACCGGAGUUUGGGUCAUCUUAACUCUUUAAGAGACCUAAAAUUAACAUUCUUUUUUUGCUCACUUUGAGACGUACAUAAUUUUUUUUAUUCGUCUACCCUGGUGGCAAAAAUUUUAUUAGAUCGUGAAUCACGUAGAGUGGGUCUCGCGUCUAUAAUUAUCAUGAUUUGACCUCAAAUCAGGUAGGAAUACCCGCUGAACUUAAGCAUAUCAAUAAGCGGAGGAAAAGAAAAUAACAAUGAUUCCCCUAGUAACUGCGAGUGAAGAGGGACAAGCUCAAAUUUUAAAUCCGUCGGGUUCACCUGAUCGAGUUGUAAUUUGAAGAGGCGUUUUCCGCGUUUUUGAUCAGUCCAAGUCCUUUUGGGAUAGGGCAUCAUGGAGGUUGAGAAUCCCGUUCGGCUGAUCAGAUUCGCUUUACGAAUACGUCAUCUAAGAGUCAAGUUGUUUGGGAAUGCAGCCUAAAAUGGGAGGUAAAUUUCUCUAAGGCUAAAUAACGCGAGAAACCGAUAGCCGAACAGUUACCGUGAGGCAAGAUGAAAGACUUUGAAAGAGAGUUACAGGUACCUGCAACUGGUGAUGAACGAUGAGCAGUCGUACUGGUGGUGCUAGUAUCAGACCAUUUUCGGCGGCUGUCAUAUGGAGCGUGAGGAGUUAAACGCCCUCAUGCCUGCAUAUUCGUGUUCUUUGGGUGUACUUACCCGCAUGGUAGGUUAACAUCAAUUUCGAACGUCAUAAAAUGGUUGGAGGAAUGUAGCUUCGAUCUCGUAUUGAAGUGUUAUAGCCUUCGGCAGAUGUGAUGAUCGGGAUUGAGGAUUGCAACGGAUACCCCUCGGGCUACCCGUCUGAUCUCUGAAAGUUACUCUGGUGCCGAAAGCUCGCUUACGGUCAUCAAAGUUGACGUUCAACAGGUUAGAACGGGAUAAAUUCGUUAAGGAUGUUGACGUAAUGGCUUUAAACGACCCGUCUUGAAACACGGACCAAGGAGUCUAACAUAUAUGCGAGUGUUC
rnacentral:rRNA from 1 species